ACAGCUAUAUAAUUUCUCAGUUGGUAAAAGUUUUUUGCUCAGUGCUGGUUGUAUGUUUAAUAGGUGAGAGGCUAAAUAUGAAUUUGCCUCAUAUGAAACACUUCGCAAUAUGUAAACAUUAACUGUAAUGUAAAAAAAUCAGUGAGCACCAAAAAUUAACGAAAUUUGAAGACUAAAUAAAAAUCGAAAAUAAAGUUAACGUUCAAGCAAGAAAAGUCCCUCCAGCAGCGUUCACACAACAUCUGUAAAGAGAGCGAGUCAAGCAAGCAAGCAAGCAGACAGUAACACGAACUUGUUUGUUGGCCCUUUGUUUUUAAAGUGUAGAGUCACACAAAUGCUAACAACAAAAACAAUAGCAUGGAAUAAUGCAAAAUUGCUAAAAUCCAAAUCCAAAAAUUAUAUUUUUUUUUGAAUUGUUGUAUAUGUUAAUUUGAUUUCUCUUUAAUUCCAAACUUAUGUUUUGUUUUGUUUCGUAUCUUUUUUAUUAUUCAUAAUUCGUGUUUUGUAUUUGUUUAGCAAUUAAUUUUUAAGUUAUUAAAAAAAAAGUAUAUAAGUUAAAGUGUUGUGGCAAUAAAAAAAAUAAUAAAAUACAAAUUAUAACAAAAUAACAAAAAAUACAAAACAGAAAAGUGAAGUGUGGAGCGCCAUAGUCGCUGUUAAAGAAGUAUUUAGUAUAAAAAAAGAGAGAAUAUAGAGUGUGGAACCAAAUAAAUGGAUUCACAUUCCACUUCUACUCUCGCAAAUAAUGUAGUUGUAAAUGAAAGAAGCAUUAAACCUCAUAACAAAAUAAAAACGAACCAACACAACAGCAGCGGCAGCAACAUCAACAACAACAACAACAACACUGUUAACUAAGUGACAGUAGCAAAAUUGAAAAAGACAACAACACUUAAAAGGCAGCAACAGCAUAUAAAGCAGCACCAAAUACAAGUGUUGCAUUAAAAAUGUCAACGUUCUUGAAUAAUUUCUUCCCGGCA